rnacentral:rRNA from 1 species
UGCAAGUCGAGCGGGCCUUUCGGGGUCAGCGGCGGACGGGUGAGUAACGCGUGGGAACGUGCCCUCUGGUUCGGAAUAACUCAGGGAAACUUGAGCUAAUACCGGAUACGCCCUUUUGGGGAAAGGCUUGCUGCCGGAGGAUCGGCCCGCGUCUGAUUAGCUAGUUGGUGAGGUAACGGCUCACCAAGGCGACGAUCAGUAGCUGGUCUGAGAGGAUGAUCAGCCACACUGGGACUGAGACACGGCCCAGACUCCUACGGGAGGCAGCAGUGGGGAAUAUUGGACAAUGGGCGCAAGCCUGAUCCAGCCAUGCCGCGUGAGUGAUGAAGGCCUUAGGGUUGUAAAGCUCUUUUAUCCGGGACGAUAAUGACGGUACCGGAGGAAUAAGCCCCGGCUAACUUCGUGCCAGCAGCCGCGGUAAUACGAAGGGGGCUAGCGUUGCUCGGAAUCACUGGGCGUAAAGGGCGCGUAGGCGGCGUUUUAAGUCGGGGGUGAAAGCCUGUGGCUCAACCACAGAAUGGCCUUCGAUACUGGGACGCUUGAGUAUGGUAGAGGUUGGUGGAACUGCGAGUGUAGAGGUGAAAUUCGUAGAUAUUCGCAAGAACACCGGUGGCGAAGGCGGCCAACUGGA